rnacentral:snRNA from 1 species
UUAUUAGUAGGAAGACAUCCAAUAAAAUUGGCACGAUACAGAGGAGAUUAGCAUGGCCACGGUACAAAGAUGAAGACGUGAUAAAUCCAUAAAUAGUCAAAAAUUUC